CCUGUGGUAGCUGCCCUGGUGGUGAUGUGUGUGAGGAAAUGGAGUCACUUCUGUGAAGGGCAGUGGGGUGCCCGGGAGGGGAAAGGCGCUCAUUUCUUCAGAUAAAGCAAAGUCAAAGUCGGACCGUAAACCGGCGUGUUUCUGCAAUUAUUAGUGCGAAUUGGACAGGAGCUGUGCUCAGCUCCGAUUACCACUGCUGAAGGAAGGGUCCAGCAUGAAGUUCGUGAUGGACAACCCCAAUGGAGACCACACAAAACAGCUACUGGUAUGAGGCAGUAAUCUCUGAAUCUGUUCUCCUUGAAGUAAUGCUACCAGUGAGGACAACAGAAGAGCAUCCAGCCACCUUUCUGUCCCACACCAAUUUGUCAUUAACCAUCUAUGUAAGAUGGACCUGAUCCUUUGACCACAUCUAGGGUGACAGUCAAACUACCAAUUUCUAAGGCUUUUGCAAUCACACUGGUCAGUCCCUGAUAUCUUGAGAGCCAAAAGUCUAACUUCAGCCACACACAGACACAAAUAGAAGUCUCACAGGUAAAAUGGUUCUGGCGGUUGGGUGAAAACCUAUAAAAAGCUGGGCAAAAUUGAUGUGAGUUGGUGACCUCACAGAGAGAAAAAAGUAUCACAUGAAUUCAUUCUUUAUGUUGCUUGGCCUGGUCUGCUCAGGCAUGCUGUGUGUACAAGCUACAGAUACACCACCAAGAGAGGCCUGAUGGGUACUUCCUUCUUCCCGGAUGAUAAUGAGGGAAUGUGGGAGGGCUGCUAAAAGUAUUAGGGAAUGAAUGAAGUCAUGAUAAAAAAAAGAGAGGAACUGGGAUUAUGACAGCGGAGGCACAGUUGUGUAGGAUGCAAAUCCAUGGGAAAUCAGGUUUCACCAGUUCCACUGAUCAAUGAAAGAAAAUAUUUAUGUUUUCCUGUCAAUACCUUUUGGAGAAAGGCAUGUCACAGCCAUUAAAAUAAACGUCUCUAAAAGGACUGUGGGUGACAGCCUCCACUGAGAAAAAAAAACCCAACUUAAUUUCCUAUCACAGUGGGCCAGAUUCUCAGCUUGUGUGAACUGCCAGGAUUAAGCUGAAAUGAAUUGAGUUGUGCUGUCUUGGUGCCAAUUGGCCUGUUUUAGGUUGUUAAAAAUACUUUCAAGCAAAUACAGAUAAACAAAAAAAUUAGCCAGGAAUAUGUUUAGGGAAAAUGGAUAUAAAAUUACAGUAUGAAAAGCUGUUAUGUUGUAAUAGAUAAUGGUAGGAAGGUAAAAUAUUCACUAUUUUCAGAUCUACUAUCAAAACUAAGUAGGAAAUUCAUCCCUUUUCACUUCAAAACAUUUCUCAGUCUUCUUUAUUCUGUUACAAGAAGUAGUAUUGUCAAGAAGACCUAGGCUGGGAUAAAAGCCUGAAGCAUGAUUACAAGGGAAGAUGGUGAUUGUGAGGAGGACUCAGUGGCAUGGUGAAACACUGUGGGAAUGCUUCAAAAUCAAGGACAUGCAGUCAUGUCUCUCUCAGGCCUCUCUAAAAGCAAACAAGAUUAUAAAUAAUAAGAAUAACGGGUUCCUGGCCAGUCACUAUCAGGAAUUCAAGGGUACACACCUAUGUUUGCAAAAGAAAAGUGUGUAGGAGCGUGUGAGAGAGAGUGUGAUUAUUGUGCUGACUUGAUCUGUUCCCAGACCACUGGGGCAGAACUGAUGACUUUUUGUUCCUGAGCACUGGGGCAAUGCUUGCAUGUUCUUGAGGAGGUGAGAUUGCAGAGUACGUGAAUAUCCUGUUUGGCUGCAUAGUCAAGAUCCUUGUCUGUAACUAUAAAAAGGACAAGAAAAAAGGAAUAAAUGACUUAGUCAGAUCACAUACUGAGUCUGUGUCUUUCAAUCCACCACAAAACACAGACUGACUUUAGGAGACCAGAGCCUGGAAACCACUCUUGGUUGAAAUGCACAAGGUCAUUUUGCUGGCUUUCACUGGGAUAGAGUUAAUUAUCUUCACAGUAGCUAGAAUGGAGCUGUAUUUUGGAUUUGUACUGGAAACAGUGUUGAUAACACAGGGAUGUUUUCCUUACUUCUAAGCGGUGCUUACACAGAGUAAAGGCCUUUUCUGCUCCUCACCCCACAGCACCAGCAAGCAGGCUGGGGAUGCACAAGGAGUUCAGAGGGGACACAGCCAGGACAGCUGACCCAACUGACCCAAGGGAUAUAUUCCAGACCAUAUGGCAUCAUGAUCAGCAUAUAAACUGGGGGAAGAAGAAGGGAGAGGGGGACAUUUGGAGUGGCAUUUGUCUUCCCAAGUAGCCAUUAGACAUGACAGAGCCCUGCUUCCCUGGACAUGGCUGCUGAGGGGAACUGCUGAAUGAAUUCCUUGUUUUGCUUUGCUUGUGUGUGCAGAUUUUGCUUUACCUAUUAAAUUGUCUUUAUCUCAACCCAGGAGUUAUCUCCCUUUUACUCUUCAGUUCUCUCCCUCAUCU